AUGAUAAUUUUCUUUUCUCUUUUUGAGUGGUUUAUUCUCAGCGUAUUAAAUUGUUCAGUCGCUAAGUGGUGUCCGACUCUUUGCAAUCCCACAGACAGCCAGACUUCCCUGUCUUUCACUAUCUCCGAGAGAUUGCUCAAACUCAUGUCCGUUGAGUUAGUGAUGUCAUGGUGCUCAACGGUGGCUAGCAAAACAUGGUGUUCAAUGGUGGCUAACAAAACAAAGAGAGCCCCUAAAAAUAAAACCUUUUUAGUAAAGACCUGAGAAAGGUGAUGGUGUUUGUUUCAUUUUAGGAUUAUCAUCCUCCCUUCAACAUAGUGUGUAAACGUUAAGACUACUUAAUAAAACUCCCACAAUUCCAAAGCUGAGUAUUUUUCAGAGACCUCAGAAUUUCUCUGAACUUGCCAUUUUAAAAACAAAAAUCCAAGACACUACUGGCAUCAACUGUAUCAAUAAUACACACAUUAUUUAAAAUAUCUGUCAAAUAAAUAGUAUAUUUCAUAUACUUUCAUUUCCUGCUUCCAUCAAUAACAAUAUUAAUAUUACUUUGGCACUAUGUAUCAAUACUUAUGGAGAAGGCAAUGGCAACCCACUCCAGUACUCUUGCCUGGAAAANNNNNNNNNNNNNNNNNNNNNNNNNNNNNNAGUCCAUGGGGUCGCACAGAGUCGGACACGACUGAAGCGAUUUAGCAGCAUCAAUACUUACGUGAGAAGCACUCGUGAAUUAUCUCAUUCAGUCCUCACACUAUGGUAUGAGAUAUGAAUGAUUAUAUUCAUUUUACAGAUAAGUUUCCUGAAACAUCCACAACAAUUUGGAAGGAGGAAAAAAGGUGCUUAUACGGUAAGAUGAAGAAUGUAUAACCAACAAAAAUGCCAAGAAGUGAACCUCUUAUUUCAAUAUUAAUGUACAUAGUGGCAAAAAUGUGGAAAAUAAUGAAAAUAAGCAGCAAAAUAUCUUUAUAUCUAAGUUGUGCAUGUGUGCUCAGUUAUGUCUGACUCUUUGUGACACCAUGGACCAUAGCCUGCCAGGCUUCUCUGUCCACAGAAUUUUCCAGGCAAGAACACUGGAGUGGGUUACCAUUUCCUACUCUAGGGGCUCUUCCUGACCCAGGGAUCAAACCCAAGUGUCCCAUGUCUCCAGCAUUGGCAGGCAGACUUUUCAAAAGACAAGACUGCCAAAAGCAACAACUGAAUUAUUUAUCUUCCUGGUUUUGAUGUAAGGACGAAUCACAAAAGUACAAAUAUCCUGUAUGUAAGAUAAAUGACACGCAGAGCAGCAAAACACAUUUACUCUUCAAUGAAGGUAGCUAAACAGCAGUAAGAGUUAUUAUGGAAAGCUAGUUUUCAAAAAUUCCUAAGAGCUUUUCUUUCAUUGUAUACUUUAACCUUCUAUGCAAAUCCAUAAGUACUGUACUUAUUUGUAUGGUAUUACAGCAAAGAUUAAAACAAGAUAAAUAAAAAUAUUAGAAACUGUUUUCUCUUUGUUAUAUCAACAGACCAUAUUUAAGAGUUUACUAGCCAUUUUCCCCAGAAGGUUCAGUUCAGUUCAGUUGCUCAGUCACGUCAACUCUUUGUGACCCCACAGCCUGCAACACGCCAGGCUUCCCUGU
rnacentral:lncRNA from 1 species